rnacentral:rRNA from 1 species
CCGUGAAGCUGGAUUCGCUAGUAAUCGCGCAUCAGCCAUGGCGCGGUGAAUACGUUCCCGGGCCUUGUACACACCGCCCGUCAAGCCAUGGGAGCCGGGAGCGCUUGAAGUGCGUCGCCGCGAGGCGCGCCCUAGAGCGAGACCGGUGACUGGGGCUAAGUCGUAACAAGGUAUC